AUUGAACGCUGGCGGAAGGCCUAACACAUGCAAGUCGAACGAGUGGCGGACGGGUGAGUAAUGUCUUGGACACUGCCUGAUGGAGGGGGAUAACUACUCGAAACGGUCGCUCAUACCGGAUACUAUUGGAUGUGCUCCGAUGGGAUUAGCUAGGAGGGGGGAGAAAGGCUCCCAAAGGCGACGAUCCCUAGCUGUUCUGAGAGGAUGACCGGCCAGACUGGAAGGGAAAAAGGGGCCAGACUCGUACGGGAGGCAGCAGUGGGGAAUAUAGCACAAGGGGCGCAAGCCUGAUGCAGCCAUGACGCGUGUAUGAAGAAGGCCCUCGGGUUGUAAAGUACAGUCAGCGGAAAGGCGUUACCAGCAGAAGAAGCACCGGCUAACUCCGUGCGAGGAGCCGCGGUAAUAC
rnacentral:rRNA from 1 species